rnacentral:tRNA from 1 species
UGCCCCGGUAGUGUAGUCCGGUCAAUCAUGUCGGCCUUUCGAGCCGGUGACGCGGGUUCGAAUCCCGCCCGGGGCACCC